rnacentral:sRNA from 1 species
UGUAUAUUCAGUAUCAUUUUAAAAAACAGAUUUAUAUUCUUUUAUCAGCUCAGAAGGACUAGUAUUCAAGAACCCACAGAAAUUUCUCUAUCUUCCAAGCCAAGAGCACCAAGAACUACUCCCUUUCUUCAGUUGAAUGAAAUAAGAAAUGUAAAACGUGAUGGCAUUCCUGCUGAUUGUACCACCAUUUAUAAUAGAGGUGAACAUACAAGUGGCAUGUAUGCCAUCAGACCCAGCAACUCUCAAGUUUUUCAUGUCUACUGUGAUGUUAUAUCAGGUAGUCCAUGGACAUUAAUUCAACAUCGAAUAGAUGGAUCACAAAACUUCAAUGAAACGUGGGAGAACUACAAAUAUGGUUUCGGGAGGCUUGAUG